CAGCUCUUCAAGUGGUCGGGAAUAUUAUUGGGCUUAAAGUGUCCGUAGCCGGUUUGAUAAGUUCCUGGUUAAAUCUGGCAGCUUAACUGUCAGUUGGAUAGGAAUACUAUCUUACUAGAGGGUGGGAAAGGUCUGGGGUACUCCAGGGGUAGCGGUGAAAUGCUAUAAUCCUUGGGGGACCACCAGUGGCGAAGGCGCCAGACUGGAACACGCCUGACGGUGAGGGACGAAAGCCAGGGGAGCGAACGGGAUUAGAUACCCCAGUAGUCC
rnacentral:rRNA from 1 species